GAUGAACGCUGGCGGCGUGCUUAACACAUGCAAGUCGAACGAAGUGGCGAACGGGUGAGUAACGCGUAAUCAACCUGCCCUUCAGAGGGGGACAACAGUUGGAAACGACUGCUAAUACCGCAUACUGAAGGAGGGGAUUGCGUUUGAUUAGCUAGUUGGAGGGGUAACGGCCCACAAAGGCGAUGAUCAGUAGCCGGGCUGGGAGGGUGAACGGCCACAAUGGGACUGGGACACGGCCCAAACUCCUACGGGGGGCAGCAGUGGGGGAUCUUCCGCAAUGGACGAAAGUCUGACGGAGCAACGCCGCGUGAGUGAUGACGGCCUUCGGGUUGUAAAGCUCUGUUAAGCGGGACGCGGUACCGGAAGAGGAAGCCACGGCUAACUACGUGCCAGCAGCCGCGGUAAUUC
rnacentral:rRNA from 1 species